GUGCUCCAUUCAGCAACACAUAUACUAAAAUUGGAAGGACAUAGAGAACAUUAGCAUGGCUCCUGUGUAAGGAUGACACACAAAUUUGUGAAGCGUUGGGGCUGGGA
ensembl:snRNA U6 U6 spliceosomal RNA